UUUUUUUUUUUUUUUUCUCCCCCCAAAUUUAGCCUGUUUGAGUUCCACAGCAGACUCACUAUAACCUUAUCAUUCAGAAUCCAAAUCACUGUCAGCAGGGUUAUGAGCAGUCCCUGGGCAAACUGUGGGAAUACAUUUCUUUUUUUUUUUUUCUCCUUUUUUCUCUUUUAAGGGCCGCACCCAUGGUAUAUGGAAGUUCCCAGGCUAGGGGUUAAACUGAAGCUGCAGCUGCUGGCCUACAUCAUAGCCACAGCAACUCAGGAUCCAUGGGGAGUCUGCGACCUACACCACAGCUCAUGGCAAUGCUGCAUUCCUGACCCACUGACGGAGGCCAGGGGUUAAACUCACAUCGUCAUGGAUACUAGGCGGGUUUGUUACCACUCAGCCACGCUGGGAACUCCUCUCUAUUUUUUACUGUAAAGUUUUUUUUUCUUUUUAGGGAUGCACCCAUGGCAUAUGGAAGUUCCCAGAUUAGGGGUAGAAUCAGAGCUAUAGCUGUCAGCCUACGCCACAGCAAUGCCAGAUCCAAGCCGUGUCUGCAACCUACACCACCGCUCACAGCAAUGCUGGAUCCUUGACCCACUGAGCGAGGCCAGGGAUUGAAGCUUCCUCCUCAUGGAUACCAGUCAGGUUUGUACUGGCUUCGCCAGAAAGGGAGCUCCUGAUCGUGAAAAGUUUUUAUGAAGUUUUUAUGGAUUUAUAAAAUCCAUGCUCACUUAAAUAAAAAAGAACUAAGAAAUAUGCAAUGCAGACAAUGAAAUUCCCCCAAAUCUUUCCUUCCAAUUUCUCCAUAAAUGAUAAUUAUAAUAAAAAUAGCAUACACUUCCGUGGCACUUGUUAUGUGCCAAGCGCUCUAAGCGCUUUGUACUUGUUGGCUCAUUUAGCCCUUGCAACAUCCUUGUGAGGCAGGCACUGCUAGAGUCACCACUUCACAGAUGAAGAAGCUGAGGCACAGGAAGGUAUCGUGCCUCUGGUCACACAGCUAGUGGGCAGUAAGGCUGGGACUUGGACUCCAACAGAUUGGCUUCAAGUCUAUGCUCUUGACCACCCCUGAAAGCUGAGGGUAUAAUGCUCUGGCCCCUUUUCCCCAGGUGAACACAUCACGCACUCAUUUUUAUUUGUUUAUUUAUUUUUUGCUUUUUAGGGCUGUACCCACAGGAUAUGGAGGGGUGGCCCUAAAAAGCAAAAAAAAAAAAAAAAAAAAAAAAAAAAGGAAAAGAGUCCCGAGCAACAUCUCCCUCUGUCUCCUCUCAAGUGGCCUAGCUCCCAGUGCCCAGUAAAUAGUUACCAGGUAACUACUUCAAUUAAUGUCUUCAGAAUCUUCCAGGGUUUUGUUACACAUUCACAAGAAAACACCAGCAUGUGUUCUUAUGUUUUCUCCCUUUUUCACCCCAAAGAUAGCAUAUUCCAGCAGUCAGUAUUCCAGAAGGAAAGAGCGGACACCUUCAAACUUGGUAAUCAGAAGCCUCUCAUUAAGGCAGGGGACAGGAAACCAGUAGGUGUAGUGCAGUACCCUGGGCUAGAAACAGCGACAGUGCGAGCAGUUCUAGAACUGCGUGGCUGAUAUUGCUGAACGGAGAGGGCCGCUAUCCAGGAUGUCAGGCUGCAGCUAAAGGACGCAGCCACUCUCCUCCCGCCCUCUGCUCACCUGCUAAUGCUUCCAAUGGUGAUUCCAAUUGGAACAAAGAGGGUAGGGGAGCUGCAGAGGCCAACAAGCCUCCUUGUCCAGGGCAGUUUAGAGAAGGGGAAAGAGUGGAUAGAAGGGGCACACGGCAGACGUCCAGCACACAUAGUCUACCCACUCCUCUGUACUUUGAACUUGACCUCACAUAUGAAGAUCUUCUCUUAUCUCUAAGCAGAAAACCCACACAUUCUUUGUCAUAGCAGCAUGCUGUGUCAGGCAUGUUCACUGAGGGCCAUUUGUACCAUCAUGACUCCUGGCUUAAAGAUUUUGGUAUAUCACAUCACAUGGCAAAUGGACAAACUGAGAGUGUGUAAAAACGACACACACACCAAACUGUAAAAUACAGAGAGAUGGGGCCCCUCGUUUUCAUACCAGUUUGCUCAUACUUACACUUCCAGCUACAAGCACAAGGACUAGAACCCAUGCUGCCAAAUGUCUAGUCCAGACUUAUUUUUACUUAUAUCUUACCACAAGUCUUAUUUUUAUGAUUGAGAAAUUCUUUAAUCAAUUUUUUCCCCUUUUUCUCUUUUUGCCUUUUCUAAGGCCGCUCCCGUGGCAUACAGAGGUUCCCAAGCUAGGGGUCUAAUCGGAGCUGUAGCCACCGGCCUACACCAGAGCCAUAGCAACUCGGGAUCUGAGCGCGUCUGCGACCUACACCACAGGUCACGGCUUAACCCACUGAGCGAGGCCAGGGAUCAAACCCACAACCUCAUGGUUCCUAGUCGGAUUCGUUAACCACUGCGCCACAAGGGGAACUCCCAAUCAAUGAGUUUUUUUUGUUUUGUUUUUGUUUUUUGCUGCACGUGCGGCAUGCGGAAGUUCUGGGGCCAGGCACCUGAGCCACUGCAGUGACAAUGCCAGAUCCUUAAUCCUUAAACUUCUGAGCCAACCGCAAUUCCAAGGAGCUUUACUUUUGAUCCAUCCAUGAUAAACUCCAUUGAGAUACCUGGUAUUUUAAGUUCAGUUCCAAAGUUGUCUAAUGCUAUGAAAAAAGAGGACUUCCUUCCCUCCCUCUCUCUUAUGUGACAAGCAGCAUUUUAAGAUAUGAAUUACUAAAAUUCGCAUAAGAAAUGGAACUGUUCCAGUCAUGAGCCAUAUUUUAAAUAGGGAAGCUGAUUGCCAGAAGGUACUUCAUCAAACAGGAAUGGCAGAACAAAUUCUGAGAGGGAAAGGGGAAAGCUAAAGAAAAGAUGGAUCUGUCGAACCACUAGAAUUCAACCAAACAGCAAUUUCUGCGUGUUACUGAUAAAAAGAGGAGGAAAUGGCAGGAGAGCAAAGUUGUCAUCAGAGUGAGUGGGGAGGUGAGGGUGUGAGAGUGGAAUUGAAUAAAUGUUGAAAAAAGGAAAGGGAAAUUGAGACCACACCUAAGAAAAUGUCUAUAGCAAAGGAUAAAAACAAGGAAUUCAGAAAGAAGACAGACGAGAAAAAAAAAAAUUUGGAAAGUUUCACUGCUAAGUAAAGAAAAGCAAAUUAAAAGAUGUAUUUUAGGAGUUCCCACUGUGGCACAGCGGAAAUGAAUCCAACUAGCAUCCAUGAGGAUGUGGAUUUGAUCCCUGGCCUCUCUCAGUGGGGUGGGGGGGAAUCUGGCCUUGCGUCAGCUCUGGUGUAGGCCAGCAGCUGUAGCUCUGAUUUGACUCCUACCCUGAGAACUUCCAUAUGCUGUGGGUGUGGCCACAAAAAGUAGAAAAAAAAAAGUUAUAUUUUAAAAAGCCAUUAAACUGGCAAAGAUUAAAUGAUAAAGGCAAGAAUGUCAGUGAAGGGACAGGCUUCAUAGUCCCCCCUAGAAAACAGAGAACAAACCUUGUCUAGAAAGAAACCUGAAAUACAACUCCAUUUCUGAGAAUUAUUUCCUAGUAAAUAACCAGACAUACGCAGAAAGAUUUAUGUAAAAAGGAUAUUUGUCACGUUUUUAACAGUGAAAAACUGGAAACAACUUACACUGCCAUCGGUAGGAGAAUCGUGAAAUGAAGGAUGGCAGUCCUGUAACAUACUAACACACUGUCACUACAUAUUGCGUUAUAGAUUAACAAUUCAGAUACGUGAAAAAUCCUCGUAAUAAAGAAAAAAGUCAUAAAACAGUAGUAUACAAAGGGUGAUUCCGCUUUUGUACAAAACCUAACUAUAAUGCAAAUAUACAUAUUCACAUAGGAAAUAACUAAAAAUGAAUAUCCUCAAACACCCUCAGUGGUUUUCACUGCGUGUGAACUUACGAGUGACUUUUACUCACACUGGGGUGCACGUCUUCAUUUUUCCAAUAUCCCCGACAUACCUAUUUUUUAUGAUGCCAGUGGCUGGACUACUCCUGGCCCACAAGUGCCGGGGAAAAAUGAUACUUUAUUUGCACGUCAUCUUCCUCGCCAGCACUUCAAGGCUUUCGGCAACCCUGACACUUUCUCCAAAAAGCCGCGACGCCGGCGACUCCUUUCUUCUUCCGCAACCGCGGCGGCGACCCUAAACCAGAGUAACCCAGGGGCUGUUGCCAAAUAACUCUCGGCCGACCUCUUAAGUGGACGGAAACGGAAAAAGAAAACGCACAAACGCAGUGAUUAACGCGCGGUCUGUUCAGUUCAGCAGCCCAAUAAGCGGAAGGGCCUAUUCUACUCACGGCCAAUCUUCCCCGCUGCGACCGGAAGCCUU
rnacentral:lncRNA from 1 species